rnacentral:rRNA from 1 species
UGCGUAGGCGGACUAAUAAGUCAGUGGUGAAAUCUUUCGGCUCAACCGAGAAACUGCCAUUGAUACUGUUAGUCUUGAGUUCGGUUGAGGUAGGCGGAAUGUGUAAUGUAGCGGUGAAAUGCUUAGAUAUUACACAGAACACCAAUUGCGUAGGCAGCUUACUAGACCGACACUGACGCUGAGGCACGAAAGCGUGGGGAUCAAACAGGAUUAGAUACCCUGGUAGUCC